rnacentral:snoRNA from 1 species
UCCGGCAGUGAUGAUACUCUUGCCCUCACUGAGAACAUUGUUCUGUAAUGAGAAUCUUGUAAAUGGAUUCAGAUAAGCUGAGCUGGA